CCUACGGGCGGCAGCAGUGGGGGAUAUUGCACAAUGGGGGGAACCCUGAUGCAGCGACGCCGCGUGGGUGAAGGAGCGCUUCGGCGCGUAAAGCCCUAUCGGCAGGGAAGAAGAUGACGGUACCUGACCAAGAAGCCCCGGCUAACUACGUGCCAGCCGCCGCGGUACUACGUAGGGGGCAAGCGUUAUCCGGAUUUACUGGGUGUAAGGGGGGCGCAGACGGGAAUGAAAGCCAGGAGGAAAGGCCCGGGGCCCAACCCCGGGACUGCUCUUGGAACUGCAUGGCUGGAGUGCAGGAGGGGUAGGCGGAAUGCGUGGUGUAGCGGUGAAAUGCGUAGAUAUUAGGAGGAACACCGGUGGCGAAGGCGGCCUGCGGGACUGUGAUUGACGUUGAGGCCCGAAGGCGUGGGGAGCAAACAGGAUUAGAUACCCUAGUAGUC
rnacentral:rRNA from 1 species